rnacentral:rRNA from 1 species
UACGUAGGUGGCGAGCGUUAUCCGGAUUUACUGGGUGUAAAGGGCGUGUAGGCGGCUCUGCAAGUCAGAUGUGAAAUUUCCGGGCUUAACCCGGACGGGUCAUCUGAAACUGCAGGACUUGAGUACUGGAGAGGAUAGCGGAAUUCCUAGUGUAGCGGUAAAAUGCGUAGAUAUUAGGAGGAACACCGGUGGCGAAGGCGGCUAUCUGGACAGUAACUGACGCUGAGGCGCGAAAGCGUGGGGAGCAAACAGGAUUAGAUACCCGCGUAGUCCCU